UACCAGACUCCUACGGGAGGCAGCAGUGGGGGAUAUUGCACAAUGGGGGAACCCUGAUGCAGCGACGCCGCGUGGGUGAAGGAGUAUUUCGGUAUGUAAAGCCCUAUCGGCAGGGAAGAAGCAAGACGGUACCUGACUAAGAAGCCCCGGCUAACUACGUGCCAGCAGCCGCGGUAAUACGUAGGGGGCGAGCGUUAUCCGGAUUCACUGGGUGUAAAGGGAGCGUAGACGGCCAAGCAAGCCAGGGGUGAAAGCCCGGGACCCAACCCCGGGACUGCCCUUGGAACUGCAUGGCUGGAGUGCGGGAGGGGCAGGCGGAAUUCCUGGUGUAGCGGUGAAAUGCGUAGAUAUCAGGAGGAACACCGGCGGCGAAGGCGGCCUGCUGGACCGCGACUGACGUUGAGGCUCGAAAGCGUGGGGAGCGAACAGGAUUAGAUACCCGAGUA
rnacentral:rRNA from 1 species